rnacentral:pre_miRNA from 1 species
GCCAUAAAACUCCUUUCAGAGAGUACUGGCAUUCUGUCCACCUCCAUAUGCUCUGCCAGAAUCACACUCGCAGCUUUUAUGGAGGCGGACUAUUUGCCAAGCAAGCUCUGCCAGGCGUUUUUCGGC